rnacentral:lncRNA from 1 species
GGCAGGAGAAUUGCUUGAACCCUGGAGGCGGAGGUUGCAGUGAGCUGAGAUUGUGCCAUUGCACGCCAGUCUGGGCAAUAAGAGCGAAACUCCGUGUCAAAAAAAAAAAAAAAAAAAGAUUGUCACAACUUUUCUUAAAAUAGCAAAUAGUCAUGGGCUCAGAAGGUGCCAGGAACCCAGGGUCCUUCUAGGAUCUCACUUGAAUCAGACUCAAAUUUGGCUUCCACUGCACUGUCCACAAUGACUAAUUCAGCUCCAUCNNNNNNAAAUACAAAAACUAGCUGAGUGUGGUGGUGCACACCUGUAAUCCUGGCAACUUGGGAGGCUGAGGCAGGAGAGUCUUUUGAAUCCAGGAGGCAGAGGUUGCAGUAAGCUGAAAUCACACCACUGUACUCCAGCCUGGGUGACAGAGCGAGACCGUGAUAGAGAGGAACUCAUCUUACUGCCACCAGCUCUACCAGCCUA